rnacentral:lncRNA from 1 species
AAUGAUGCAAAUGACACGCGGGAUCUUAGGGUUAAAAAUUAGGGUAUGACAGGUGCAUUCAGUAAAAUUUUAAAUAAAAUUGAGUGUCAAUCAUGAUUUGACAUGUGGCGCCCUCCCUUAUUAAAAAAAUUAAGAAAUAAAAUAACAUGAAAACUAAUAAAAAUCAGAAAAUGAAAUUAAAAUCAAAAAGAAAAAAAAAACCUCUUUUUUCUUGAAACAACGAGCAACCCUUCUUUCUUCUCCUAUUUGCAAAACACCCUUCAAUUUCUUCUC